UGAGGAAUAUUGCGCAAUGGGGGAAACCCUGACGCAGCAACGCCGCGUGGGUGACGAAGGCCUUCGGGUCGUAAAGCCCUUUCGGACGGGACGAACGCUUUCCGGUGAUAACUCGGGAAGCUUGACGGUACCGUAAGAAGAAGCACCGGCUAACUCCGUGCCAGCAGCCGCGGUAAUACGGAGGGUGCAAGCGUUGUUCGGAAUUACUGGGCGUAAAGCGCGUGUAGGCGGCCUUGUAAGUCAGAUGUGAAAGCCCUCGGCUUAACCGGGGAAGUGCAUCUGAAACUGCUUGGCUUGAGUACCGGAGAGGGAGACGGAAUUCCCAGUGUAGAGGUGAAAUUCGUAGAUAUUGGGAGGAACACCGGUGGCGAAAGCGGUCUCCUGGACGGAUACUGACGCU
rnacentral:rRNA from 1 species